rnacentral:ncRNA from 1 species
GUGCAGGAGAGAGCUACAUCAGGUUACAUGUAGCCGCCGAAGGCGCAGAUGCCCUUAAAUCGCUCAGGCAACAGGGACUGCACGUU